UACAGAGGGGGCAAGCGUUGUUCGGAAUUACUGGGCGUAAAGGGCGCGUAGGCGGCCUUCUAAGUCGAACGUGAAAUCCCCGGGCUCAACCCGGGAACUGCGUCCGAUACUGGAAGGCUUGAAUCCGGGAGAGGGAUGCGGAAUUCCAGGUGUAGCGGUGAAAUGCGCAGAUAUCGGGAGGAACACCUAUGGCGAAGGCAGCUCGCUGGGACGUUACUGACGCUGAGACGCGAAAGCGUGGGGAGCAAACAGG
rnacentral:rRNA from 1 species